rnacentral:rRNA from 1 species
AUUGAACGCUGGCGGCAGGCCGAACACAUGCAAGUAGAACGAGUGGCGGACGGGUGAGUAAUGUCUGGGAAACUGCCUGAUGGAGGGGGAUAACUACCGGAAACGGUAGCUAAUACCGCAUACCAUCGGAUGUGCCCAGAUGGGAUUAGCUAGUAGGUGGGGCAACGGCUCACCUAGGCGACGAUCCCGAGCUGGUCUGAGAGGAUGACCAGGCACACUGGAACUGAGACACGGUCCCAACUCCUGCUGGAGGCAGCAGUGGGGAAUAUUGCACAAUGGGCGCAGACCUGAUGCAGACAUGCAGCUUGUAUGAAGAAGGCCUACGGGUUGUAAAGUACUUUCUGCGGGGAGGCGUUACCAACAGGAUAAGCACCAGCUAACUUCGUGCCAGCAGCCGCGGUAAUAC